AGCCGGGCAGUGGUGGCACACACUUUU
rnacentral:miRNA from 1 species